rnacentral:lncRNA from 1 species
CGCCUGUUGAGACCUGCUGGUGGCUGGGGUUUCAUGUCCUCAUUUCACUUGGCCCUCACAACAAUCUUGCAAGUAGAACAUUCUUCCCCUUUUACAGAUGAAGAAACUGAGGUUUAGAGCAGCCGCUUGCCCAGCGUAGACAGCGAGAAGGACAGGUCCAGUUCUGCUUGAUGAUGAAGCCUGUGUCUUCUCUGCUGUGUGAUCCUAAUCACGUUGGGAGGUUCCUGAGGAAGCAGAGGAUUUUGCCCUUGCAUUUGAGCCACAGCAGCUCUACAGAGGGUCUGUAACUUUCACCAGAUUCUUAAGGAGUCUGUGACCUGGGAGAGUUUUAAGAGUGGGAAAGCUGUAAGGCCACGCUCAGGCUGGAUUCCAGCCGUGGGACCCCUCGCUUCACUUCUCUGAGCCUCAACUUCCUCAUCUGUGCAAUGGGGCAGCCUCGUGGACAUGCAGGAUUGCAGUUCUGGACAUGCAGAGCCUGGCAUCCAGAGGAGCCCAGCGCCCGCCAACUGCAGCACCCAGCACCAGCAACCCCAGGGUUGGGGGCUGACUCCAUUCUUCUCCCCAGGGCUACACCAGCUCUAGCUUCCUGGCCGCCAGUUUCCCCAGCAACUUCAUUUUGUUUAUUUGCAAUGGCUUAUUGGGGUCUCCUGGAGAAAAGAUUCUCAGCUGAGUUCCAGAAAAUGAACACGCU